rnacentral:rRNA from 1 species
GACGAACGCUGGCGGCGUGCCUAAUACAUGCAAGUAGAACGCACAGUUUAUACCGUAGCUUGCUACACCAUAAACUGUGAGUUGCGAACGGGUGAGUAACGCGUAGGUAACCUGCCUGGUAGCGGGGGAUAACUAUUGGAAACGAUAGCUAAUACCGCAUAAUACUAAUUAUUGCAUGAUAAUUGAUUGAAAGAUGCAAUUGCAUCACUACCAGAUGGACCUGCGUUGUAUUAGCUAGUAGGUGAGGUAACGGCUCACCUAGGCGACGAUACAUAGCCGACCUGAGAGGGUGAUCGGCCACACUGGGACUGAGACACGGCCCAGACUCCUACGGGAGGCAGCAGUAGGGAAUCUUCGGCAAUGGACGAAAGUCUGACCGAGCAACGCCGCGUGAGUGAAGAAGGUUUUCGGAUCGUAAAGCUCUGUUGUAAGAGAAGAACGGGUGUGAGAGUGGAAAGUUCACACUGUGACGGUAUCUUACCAGAAAGGGACGGCUAACUACGUG